GAGAAAAGAUACAACAACUGUUAGCAGAAAAUGACUGCCAAAUAAAUGCUCAGUGUGUGGUAAAUUUGGCCACAACAAAUCCUCAUGCUCAACUGCACCAAGACAACUUGAACAAUCCCAAAUACAACCAACCAAACCUGAACAAUCCCAAACAUAACAAACCCAAUCAACACAAGUCUAAACACAACCAAAUCAAUAAACACAAUCCCAAACAUAACCAACUCCAAGAGUUCAAACUAAACUAUCACCAAGAAUAAC
rnacentral:lncRNA from 1 species